rnacentral:sRNA from 1 species
UUUUUCCCCACUGUCUGUGUCCCAACAGGGGCUGGAGAAUCAGGAAAAAGCACCAUUGUGAAGCAGAUGAAGAUCAUCCAUGAAGAUGGCUUCUCCGGAGAAGACGUGAAACAGUACAAGCCUGUUGUCUACAGCAACACCAUCCAGUCCCUGGCAGCCAUCGUCCGGGCCAUGGACACUUUGGGCAUCGAAUAUGGUGAUAAGGAGAGAAAGGCUGACGCCAAGAUGGUGUGUGAUGUGGUGAGUCGGAUGGAAGACACCGAGCCCUUCUCUGCAGAGCUGCUUUCUGCCAUGAUGCGGCUCUGGGGCGACUCAGGAAUCCAAGAGUGCUUCAACCGGUCCCGGGAGUAUCAGCUCAACGACUCUGCCAAAUACUACCUGGACAGCCUGGAUCGGAUUGGGGCCGCCGACUACCAGCCCACCGAGCAGGACAUCCUCCGAACCAGGGUCAAAACCACUGGCAUCGUAGAAACCCACUUCACAUUCAAGAACCUCCACUUCAGGCUGUUUGACGUCGGAGGCCAGCGAUCUGAACGCAAGAAGUGGAUCCAUUGCUUCGAGGACGUCACGGCCAUCAUUUUCUGUGUCGCGCUCAGCGGCUAUGACCAGGUGCUCCACGAAGACGAAACCACGAACCGCAUGCACGAGUCUCUCAUGCUCUUCGACUCCAUCUGUAACAACAAGUUCUUCAUCGAUACCUCCAUCAUUCUCUUCCUCAACAAGAAAGAUCUCUUUGGCGAGAAGAUCAAGAAGUCACCUUUGACCAUCUGCUUUCCUGAAUACACAGGCCCCAAUACCUAUGAAGACGCAGCCGCCUACAUCCAAGCACAAUUUGAAAGCAAAAACCGCUCACCCAACAAAGAAAUAUAUUGUCACAUGACUUGUGCCACAGACACGAAUAACAUCCAGGUGGUGUUCGACGCCGUCACCGACAUCAUCAUUGCCAACAACCUCCGGGGCUGCGGCUUGUACUGACCUCUUGUCCUGUAUAGCAACCUAUUUGACUGCUUCACGGACUCUUUGCUGUUGACGUUGAUCUCCUGGUAGCAUGACCUUUUGGCCUUUGUAAGACACACAGCCUUUCUGUAUCAAGCCCCUGUCUAACCUACGACCCCAGAGUGACUGACGGCUGUGUAUUUCUGUAGAAUGCUGUAGAAUCCGGUUUUAGUUGAGUCUUCACAUUUAGAAUUUGAAAGGAAAAACAGAACAUUUCUCAUGUGCUUUGUAGCUUACAAAAAGGAAAACUCACCAUUUCAUCCAUAUUUCUUUUUCUUGCAAAACAAACAUACCCAUCUGCACCGACGCCUGCCCCCGUCCCACCUCGCGGCGCAGCCCCUGGCGCUCCUGCUGGGGGGCAGGGCCCAUCUGCCGCCUGGGGCUCCGGUGCGGUGCACUGGUCCGAGGAGUGUGCUCAGGCCGGGCUUUCCAGAAGGCCACAGGCCACUGCAAACCCUGCUGCCUGCCGGCCGCCCAGACACCACAGACGCCACCUGGCGGCCCUAAGCCACUCCCGCCACACGCUCACUCCAGGUUCGUAUAGAAAAAGCACAGCUCUCACUGGCCAGUAGCUGCCAAAAAGAACACCCAUUGUAUAAGGAAAUCCAGCCCCAUAGAAAACAAUCUGCCCACCGACCCCCUUUCU